rnacentral:rRNA from 1 species
AGGAUUAACGCUGGCGGCGUGCCUAACACAUGCAAGUCGAACGAGGUAGCAAUACCUAGUAGCAGACGGGUGAGUAACGCGUGGUCAACCUACCCUCGAGUGGGGGAUAACUAGCCGAAAGGCUAGCUAAUACCGCAUAAUACCGUAGCCGGCAUCGGCAUCGGUUGAAAGCAGCAAUGCACUCGGGGACGGGACCGCGUCCGAUUAGUUAGUUGGUGGGGUAACGGCCUACCAAGACUCCGAUCGGUAGCUGGUUUGAGAGAACGACCAGCCACACUGGGACUGAGAACGGCCCAGACUCCUACGGGAGGCAGCAGUGAGGAAUUUUCGUCAAUGGGGGGCAACCCUGAACGAGCAACGCCGCGUGCAGGAAGAAGGUUUUCGGAUCGUAAACUGCUUUUCUCGGGGAAGAGAACGGACGGUACCCGAGGAAUCAGCCCCGGCUAACUACGUGCCAGCAGCCGC